rnacentral:lncRNA from 1 species
ACCUCAGGAGCUCCCCGGGGCCCAGCUGGCACGGGCGCCGGUGGAGGGACGCUGGAGCGGCCCCACGGCGGGCAGCGGCCCCGAGGCAAGGCCGGCCGCACGCGCCCCUCGCAGCCUCGCCGGCCCCGAGGCUCCUCCCCGAGCUUCCGGAGCUCUCCCGAGCAGGAGGUCCCCGCCCCCGAACCCCGAGACCCCGUCGCGCCGGCGCCCCGCCCCCGGCCCGCCCCGCCGGCCGCACCUGCCCGCGCGCACACGCCCCCCGCACGCCGGCCGCCACGCGCGCCGGGCCUCGGGCCGCCCCGCCCGCCCUGCCCCUGCGCCGCCGCCGCCGCCGCCGCCCCACCCCCACCCCCACCCCGGCACGCGCCCGCCGCCGCUCCCCCGCACCGCCCUCCUCGCCGCGGGCCGCCUCCGCCGCCGCCCAGCCGCCGGGCCCGCCGGGCGCGGGAGCCGAGCAGAGCCCGCACCGCGGCGCCAGGGUGCGCGGGCCGCCGCCGCCGCGCUCGUUGGCUGCGCUCAGGCUCCGGCGAGCGCUGUCUCCGCCUCCUCUUCCUGCGACCUCCUCCGUCCGCGGCAGCCUCCGCGCGCUCCCCGGGAGCGCCCCUACGCCCCGCCCGCGGCGACCAGGCCUGGGGGACCCGGGGCUCCGCGGCGCCCCGCCCGGCCAGCCCCCCGGCCCGCACAUGGUCUGAGCCCCGCGGCCAGAGCUGCGCCCUGACGCGAGGGACCGCGGCGUUCCCGGCCCGGGGCCGCGGGGACCUCCUGGUGCCGACGCUCUCGCAGUAUUUUAGGGUGGGGCGGGGAGGGCCCUGGGUUCCGGGGAGUGGGGGUGGGCGGGGAGGAGGGCCCGGGGGGAGCCGGACUCCGCCAGGGAGCCGGGGAGACACUAUGGGGAAGGACCAGGAGCUGCUGGAGGCCGCCCGCACUGGAAAUGUGGCUCUGGUGGAGAAACUCCUGUCUGGCAGGAAAGGAGGGAUCCUGGGCGGCGGAUCCGGACCCUUGCCCCUGUCUAAUCUGCUAAGGUUUUCCAUUCAUUCAUGGUCAACAGGCCUGGUGGCUCCUUGUGAACAAACAUUUAGUCAGGAAGUGGAAGCUGCUUGCUCUUUGAGAAGAGCCGCUGAUCUUUGGUUUUUGGACUGUUCAUCAGGUAACCAGCCUGCUCCUUCUGGCAGUAUUGGCGACAAAUUGGAGCUUGCUUUUUACAUAAGCUUGCUUUGCUUGACUGUGUAACUGACUCUGCUUUACUCGUGUGUGUAGGCUGGGGGCAUCCUAUUAUAUCAGGGGUGAUGCGAUGUUUAGGAUACUUGAAUUUACCUCAUAAGAUACGUGAGCAAUUUGGGGAUGCCUGGGGGGCUCUGUGGUGGAGCGUCUGCCUUUGGCUCAGGGCAUGAUCCCAGGGUGCUGGGAUCGAGUCCUGCAUGGGGCUCCCUGCAGGGAGCCUGCUUCUCCCUAUCCUGUGUCUCUGCCUCU